CCUUCACUGGUCGAGCACCCCGGUACCGACAAUCCAACGGGGCUUAAGCAUAGUGCCGAAGUUACGGAUGCAUCAUCUUAGGAUGAUGCGUGGUAGGAGAGCAUUCCCACAGCAGUGAAGGUCGACCGUGAGGACGGCUGGAGCGGUGGGAAGAGACUCUGCCAGCAUAAGUAGCGAUAAACCAGGUGAGAACCCUGGUCGCCGUAAGUCUAAGGUUUCCUGAGAAAGGUUAAUCCGCUCAGGGUUAGUCAGUGCCUAAGGCGAGGCCGAUAGGCGUAGCCGAUGGACACACGGUUAAUAUUCCGUGACCACCAAAACUCGAUCAAGACCGAUGGGGGGACGCAGACCGUAAGCCUGGGGGCGAAAUGGUUACAAACCCAGGUGAAGGGAGAUCCGGAAAGGCAAAUCCGCCGGAUCGUCUGCCAGGAAAAUCCUCUAAGGAGAGUUAGGUGACUGUACCACAAACGGACACACGUGGACGAGAUGAGUAUUCUCAGGCGCUCGGGUGAUGAGUUGUUAAGGAACUAGGCAAAUUAACCCCGUAACUUCGGGAGAAGGGGUGCCCAUGCAAAUGGGCCGCAGUGAAUAGCGUCAGGCGACUGUUUAACAAAAACACAGGUCUCUGCUAAGUCGAAAACGAUGUAUAGGGGCUGACGCCUGCCCGGUGCCGGAAGGUUAAAGGGAGUGGUUAGCGCAAGCGAAGCUACGAACUGAAGCCCCGGUGAACGGCGGCCGUAACAAUAACGGUCCUAAGGUAGCGAAAUUCCUUGUCGGGUAAGUUCCGACCUGCACGAAUGGCGUAACGAUCUGACGACUGUCUCAACAACUCGCCCGGCGAAUUUGUGGUUCCGGUGAAGACGCCGGAUGCCCGCCACAAGACGGAAAGACCCCGUGCACCUUUACUAUACCCUAUCAGUGAAUUAUGGGUUGGACUGCGCAGGAUAGGUGGGAGGCUUUGAGAUCGGGUUUUUGGACUCGAUGGACCAACGGUGAGAUACCACCCUGUGUAAUCUGUGAUUCUAACCUGCUUCCAUGAUCUGGAAGAGGGACACUGGUAGGCGGGUAGUUUGACUGGGGCGGUCGCCUCCUAAAUUGUAACGGAGGCGCUCGAAGCUGCGUUCAGGUGGUUUGGAAAUCCACCGACGAGUGCAAAGGCAUAAACGCGGUUAACUGCGAGACCUACAAGUCAAGCAGGUGGGAAACCAGGACUUAGUGAUCCGGUGGUUCUGUAUGGAAGGGCCAUCGCUCAACGGAUAAAAGGUACGCCGGGGAUAACAGGCUGAUCGGAGUCG
rnacentral:rRNA from 1 species